GUUGAACGCUGGCGGCAUGCUUUACACAUGCAAGUCGAACGGUAACAGCACUUCGGUGGCUGACGAGUGGCGAACGGGUGAGUAAUACAUCGGAACGUGCCUAGUAGUGGGGGAUAACUACUCGAAAGAGUAGCUAAUACCGCAUGAGAUCUAAGGAUGAAAGCAGGGGACCUUCGGGCCUUGCGCUACUAGAGCGGCUGAUGGCAGAUUAGGUAGUUGGUGGGAUAAAAGCUUACCAAGCCGACGAUCUGUAGCUGGUCUGGGAGGACGACCAGCCACACUGGGACUGAGACACGGCCCAGACUCCUACGGGAGGCAGCAGUGGGGAAUUUUGGACAAUGGGCGCAAGCCUGAUCCAGCAAUGCCGCGUGCAGGAUGAAGGCCUUCGGGUUGUAAACUGCUUUUGUACGGAACGAAAAGCCCUCUUCUAAUACAGGAGGGUCAUGACGGUACCGUAAGAAUAAGCACCGGCUAACUACGUG
rnacentral:rRNA from 1 species